rnacentral:rRNA from 1 species
CCCUUAGAUGUCCUGGGCCGCACGCGCGCUACACUGAUGCAUUCAACGAGUUUUUCCUUGGCCGAGAGGCCUGGGCAAUCUUUUGAACGUGCAUCGUGAUAGGGAUAGAUUAUUGCAAUUAUUAAUCUUGAACGAGGAAUUCCUAGUAAACGCAGAUCAUCAAUCUGCAUUGAUUACGUCCCUGCCCUUUGUACACACCGCCCGUCGCACCUACCGAUUGAAUGGUCCGGUGAAGCCUCGGGAUUGUGGCGAGUUCCCUUUAUUGGGAGUUUGUCGCGAGAACUUGUCUAAACCUUAUCAUUUAGAGGAAAGUGAAGUCGUAACA